GAAUGUGAGGGAGAUCUGGCUGACUUCUGUCACCCGUUGAUUGCCAGCGUUGGCUGGGCUGAUCUGGCUGGCUAGGCUGGUGUCCCCUUCCUCCCUCACCGCUGUGGGCUCGGUUCAAGAGGACAACCUUCCCCCAUGGAGGAGAGGACCGUUCUCCAGUCAAAGGUAUACAAGAGUAGCUGUUCCCCUGCCUACACCUCCAGACAAGCUCUCAGGAAAUGUGUGAGGAUGAGCCACCGUCCAUACUUGUGCUGGCGGUUUUGUUCCAUGCUAGAUUGC
rnacentral:snRNA from 1 species